rnacentral:rRNA from 1 species
AGUGGACGCUGGCGGUAGGCCUAACACAUGCAAGUCGAACGGCAGCACAGUAAGAGCUUGCUCUUACGGGUGGCGAGUGGCGGACGGGUGAGGAAUACAUCGGAAUCUACUUUUUCGUGGGGGAUAACGUAGGGAAACUUACGCUAAUACCGCAUACGACCUACGGGUGAAAGCAGGGGAUCUUCGGACCUUGCGCGAUUGAAUGAGCCGAUGUCGGAUUAGCUAGUUGGCGGGGUAGAGGCCCACCAAGGCGACGAUCCGUAGCUGGUCUGAGAGGAUGAUCAGCCACACUGGAACUGAGACACGGUCCAGACUCCUACGGGAGGCAGCAGUGGGGAAUAUUGGACAAUGGGCGCAAGCCUGAUCCAGCCAUACCGCGUGGGUGAAGAAGGCCUUCGGGUUGUAAAGCCCUUUUGUUGGGAAAGAAAAGCAGCAGGUUAAUACCCCGCUGUUCUGACGGUACCCAAAGAAUAAGCACCGGCUAACUUCGUG